AGCCUCCCUUGCUCUGAAAGACUGUUACAAGAGAUGGAGCCGGAGAUCUGUGUGGCUAGAAAAGGAACAGGUUGUGCUUUCCUCACUGUAUAGUUAGUUGCAGUGGUGACAAUGAGACCUGUAACAGGU
ensembl:snoRNA